UUUUUUUUUUUUAGAGAUAGGUAGCACGCUACCCGUUUCGUUUAUUUUAUUUAGAAAUAAACUUAGAUAGAAAUGUGAAUCAACUAGGAUUCGAACUUGGGUCUCGAGUACCAACCAUCAAGCCCUUUGCCACUUGCUCUAGGAACAGUCGGUGUGACUAAUAAAUUUCAAAUGAUGUAAUUAGAUCAUCAUGAUGAAUAACGAUACAAUAUUUCUGCUGUAUAAAAGAAUUAUAAAAUAUGUAU
rnacentral:lncRNA from 1 species